rnacentral:rRNA from 1 species
UAUUGGACAAUGGGCGCAAGCCUGAUCCAGCCAUGCCGCGUGUGUGAUGAAGGCCUUAGGGUUGUAAAGCACUUUCACCGGAGAAGAUAAUGACGGUAUCCGGAGAAGAAGCCCCGGCUAACUUCGUGCCAGCAGCCGCGGUAAUACGAAGGGGGCUAGCGUUGUUCGGAAUUACUGGGCGUAAAGCGCACGUGGGCGGAUAUUUAAGUCAGGGGUGAAAUCCCAGAGCUCAACUCUGGAACUGCCUUUGAUACUGGGUAUCUUGAGUAUGGAAGAGGUAAGUGGAAUUGCGAGUGUAGAGGUGAAAUUCGUAGAUAUUCGCAGGAACACCAGUGGCGAAGGCGGCUUACUGGUCCAUAACUGACGCUGAGGUGCGAAAGCGUGGGGAGCAAACAG